rnacentral:rRNA from 1 species
GGGUACUAGGUGUGGGUUUCCUUCCUUGGGAUCCGUGCCGUAGCUAACGCAUUAAGUACCCCGCCUGGGGAGUACGGCCGCAAGGCUAAAACUCAAAGGAAUUGACGGGGGCCCGCACAAGCGGCGGAGCAUGUGGAUUAAUUCGAUGCAACGCGAAGAACCUUACCUGGGUUUGACAUGCACAGGACGCGUCUAGAGAUAGGCGUUCCCUUGUGGCCUGUGUGCAGGUGGUGCAUAGGCCGUUGUCAGCUUGUGUCGUGAGAAGUUGGGGUAAAUUCCGCCAAGGGGGCCAACCCUUGUUUUAAUGUGGCCCAGCCGGGUAAUGCCGGGGACUCGUGAGAAACUGCCGGGGUCAACUCGGAGGAAGGUGGGGAUGACGUCAAGUCAUCAUGCCCCUUAUGUCCAGGGCUUCACACAUGCUACAAUGGCCGGUACAAAGGGCUGCGAUGCCGCAAGGUUAAGCGAAUCCUUUUAAAGCCGGUCUCAGUUCGGAUCGGGGUCUGCAACUCGACCCCGUGAAGUCGGAGUCGCUAGUAAUCGCAGAUCAGCACGCUGCGGUGAUACGUUCCCGGGCCU